UUCGAUUGGGAAUUUUCCGCAAUGGGCGCAAGCCUGACGGAGCAAGACCGCGUGGGGGAGGAAGGCUCUUGGGUUGUAAACCCCUUUUCUCAGGGAAGAAGUUCUGACGGUACCUGAGGAAUCAGCCUCGGCUAACUCCGUGCCAGCAGCCGCGGUAAUACGGAGGAGGCAAGCGUUAUCCGGAAUUAUUGGGCGUAAAGCGUCCGUAGGUGGUGGGGCAAGUCGGCGGUUAAAGACUGGGGCUUAACUCCAGAAAGGCCGUGGAAACUGCACCACUAGAGGGCAGUAGGGGUAGAGGGAAUUCCUGGUGUAGCGGUGAAAUGCGUAGAGAUCGGGAAGAACACCAGUGGCGAAAGCGCUCUACUGGACUGCAACUGACACUCAGGGACGAAAGCUAGGGGAGCGAAUGGGAUUAGAUACCCCAGUAGUCA
rnacentral:rRNA from 1 species